rnacentral:rRNA from 1 species
UACGGGGGGGUGCGAGCGUUGUCCGGAAUCACUGGGCGUAAAGGGCGCGUAGGUGGUUUGAUAAGGGUGUGGUGAAAGUCCGGGGCUCAACCCCGGAUCUGCCGUGCCGACUGUCAAACUCGAGGACUGUAGAGGCAGACGGAAUUCCGGGUGUAGCGGUGGAAUGCGUAGAGAUCCGGAGGAACACCAGCGGCGAAGGCGGCAUCCUGGACUGGUCCUGACACUCAGGAGCGAAAGCGUGGGGAGCGAUCCGG